CGAUAAACAUCUUGUGAUGAUGAAGAGGAUUAUUUAACUGUAAAGCUGAAGCUUCUCUGAGACAAGGGAUAUGAAGAAGCAGAAAGAGGAAAGCAGGAGGAGGAGAAUGGAGGGGAAAGGUAGAAAUCACAAGGGCUGAAUAAAUUCAUGGUUUAUAAAGGAGGCAUUCCAAGCAGGAAAAAUGAAAUGAGCGACAUAAAAAGACAUGAAUCAACAUGGCAUGCUUGCACGACGCACACAGACCGAUUUGGUUAAAGGUUUCUGUUGGAUGGUACAGAAGAUAAAUCUAGAAGCAUAAAUCAUAGAAAAACUACAGUAGAACUGGAAUACCACCCCUUCACACUUGAGUUCUAAGAAGACUCAGAUUAGUCCUAAAGAAGGGUGGCAGGUGUACAGCUCAGCUCAGGAUCCUGAUGGGCGGUGCAUUUGCACAGUUGUUGCUCCAGAACAAAACCUGUGUUCCCGGGAUGCCAAAAGCAGGCAACUUCGCCAACUACUGGAAAAGGUUCAGAACAUGUCCCAGUCUAUUGAAGUCUUAAACUUGAGAACUCAGAGAGAUUUCCAAUAUGUUUUAAAAAUGGAAACCCAAAUGAAAGGGCUGAAGGCAAAGUUUCGGCAGAUUGAAGAUGAUCGAAAGACACUUAUGACCAAGCAUUUUCAGGAGUUGAAAGAGAAAAUGGAUGAGCUCCUGCCUUUGAUCCCUGUGCUGGAACAGUACAAAACAGACGCUAAGUUAAUCACCCAGUUCAAGGAGGAAAUAAGGAAUCUGUCUGCUGUCCUCACUGGUAUUCAGGAGGAAAUUGGUGCCUAUGACUAU
rnacentral:sRNA from 1 species